UACGUGAGGACGCCAGGAAGCGCGGCGUAUUGGUGUGUGUGGGCGGGGACUGGCGGCAGAUAUGAGAUGGAGUCUGUGGAGGUGUAUUCGGGGAUGCUGAAAGCUCUGGAGAAGCUCACACAGGAAACUACUGUUUUGGCUGAACAUAAUCAACAAAUUCGAAAAUACAACAUGACUCUGAAAAAGUUAAACACAAGCUUUGAUCAGGUCCAAUCCAGGCUUGUGCGUGUGGCCGCUGUGAAGCCAACUUUAAGCAGAACAGUUGUGUAAAAGGAAACCUGACCCCAGAUGCAUGAAAUCAAUAUAACCGGGUUUCCAUGUAUAUUCAGACUGAUGGAACAUCACAGCAAAUCUAGUUGUUUGCAUUUCUCCAUGCUUUAUAUGUGCCAUGCAUAGAAAGGGAGGGGAGAUAAUGGUGGCAACAUGACCAUGUUUUACAUACUGCAAAGCCCCACUUACGUUGCCUCUUGCUGUGUUAGAUUUUGGUUGUAACAUUACUGCUGGUAAAAACAUGGUUACAUUUGAACAUACUAUGUCCACCAAGUGAAUGUAAACAGCUAGAUGGAUGACUUGCAUGCAGAGAUAACCAGCUUUGUUAGUACCUGAUUUGCUGGUGGAUCGACAUUGCACAGGCGAUUUGUUUGUAUGUUGAAAUUCUGAUUUUACUGUGGACUGGCCAAAUAUUGUCGGGAUUCAUCAUUUGUGCAGCAGUGCAUGGACUGGUUAAAUAAAAAAUAUAUACAUUGCCUAUAAAAUA